CCCCCGGGCCUUCAGCCGUUAGACGCCAUCACCGCCGGUCCCGCGGCCCCGCUUCGACUCGCCGCCCACCUUGAACUCGGACACGGUGAUGCCGCGGUUGAAUCGUUUCUCCGAGAUAAAGGAGUGUUUCAGACUUCAAUACACUUGACAGCAAUAUCAAAGGCUCACAAUCCUGCGAAUGAAGAUGUUUCUGCUCUGCUCGGUCCCACAUAAACACAAAAAGCCAAUGACAAGGAAAGUGCUGAAGACAUUCAGCAGGUCAGGCAGCACUCCAUGUGGCCUGAAAGCAGACGGAACACUUCAUCAGACCUGGUGGAGUGAGGAAAUGAGCUUUACAUUGCAGAGAGGGAGGGGUAGAGAGAACAAAAGUAGUAUUUGUCAUCGGGUAUACUUCAUUUUUAUUUCAGAUUUCCAGCAUCUUAAGAUUUAAAAUUUUCAACAAAAUAUUUAAUGUUGCCCAAAGUGCAUAUUGUCUCUCCCACCCCAUCGCUCACAUAGCUUAUACUCGUGGGUGGAACAAGUCAAGAAAUGAAACUUUACUGUAUUAGAAACAUACUUUAAAUAUUUUAAUAAAGGUGAAACCAGU